UCCUUUGGGGGGCCUGCGGAAGGAU
rnacentral:rRNA from 1 species